AGGGGCAUAGCUCAAUUGGCAGAGCGUCGGGCUCCAAAACCGAAGGUUGUCGGUUCGAUUCCUACUGCCCCUGGCA
rnacentral:tRNA from 1 species